AUUGAACGCUGGCGGCAGGCCUAACACAUGAAAGUCGAGCGAGCGGCGGACGGGUGAGUAAUGUAUGGGGACUGCCCGAUAGAGGGGGAUAACUACUGGAACCGGUGGCUAAUACCGCAUACGGUCGGAUAACCCAUAUGGGAUUAGCUAGUAGGUAAGGUAAUGGCUUACCUAGGCGACGAUCCCUAGCUGGUCUGAGAGGAUGAUCAGCCACACUGGGACUACGACACGGCCCAGACUCCUACGGAGGCAGCAGUGGGGAAUAUUGCACAAGGGGCGCAAGCCUGAUGCAGCCAUGCCGCGUGUAUGAAGAAGGCCCUAGGGUUGUAAAGUACUUUCAGUCGGGAGGCGUUACCGACAGAAGAAGCACCGGCUAACUCCGUGCCAGCAGCCGCGGUAAUAC
rnacentral:rRNA from 1 species